GUCGAGAAUAAUUCACAAUGGACGAAAGUCUGAUGGUGCAACGCCGCGUGGAGGAUGACGGUCUUCGGAUUGUAAACUCCUGUCAUCCGGGAGUAAGACCUGGCUGUGAAUAGCAGACAGGGUUGAUAGUACCGGAAGAGGAAGGGACGGCUAACUUCGUGCCAGCAGCCGCGGUAAUACGAAGGUCCCGAGCGUUGUUCGAAAUCACUGGGCGUAAAGGGAGCGUAGGCGGCGUGGUAAGUCAGAUGUGAAAUCCCGGGGCUCAACCCCGGAACUGCAUCCGAUACUGCCGUGCUAGAGGAUUGGAGAGGUAGCUGGAAUUCUUGGUGUAGCAGUGAAAUGCGUGGAGAUCAAGAGGAACACUCGUGGCGAAAGCGAGCUACUGGACAAUAUCUGACGCUGAGGCUCGAAGGCCAGGGUAGCGAAAGGGAUUAGAAACCCUUGUAGUCC
rnacentral:rRNA from 1 species